rnacentral:rRNA from 1 species
GACAUACCUCUGGUGUACCAGUUGUCGUGCCAACGGCAUAGCUGGGUAGCUAUGUGUGGACGGGAUAAGUGCUGAAAGCAUCUAAGCAUGAAGCCCCCCUCAAGAUGAGAUUUCCCAACUUCGGUUAUAAGAUCCCUCAAAGAUGAUGAGGUUAAUAGGUUCGAGGUGGAAGCAUGGUGACAUGUGGAGCUGACGAAUACUAAUCGAUCGAAGACUUAAUCAA